CGUGUGUACAUGUGUGAUGAAUGCAUGUGUAUGUGAGUGUGUGGUGCACAUAUCUGUGCAUAUGUACAUCUGUGUGUACACAUAUGUUUAUGGGUGAGAGGUGUGUGUCUUCAUGUGGGUGUGUAUGUCAUGUGAGUCAUGUGUACAUGUGUGAUGAAUGCAUGUGUAUGUGAGUGUAUGUAUAGUGCAUGUGUCUGUACAUGUGUGAAUCUGUGUGUACACAUAUAUUCAUGGGUGAGACAUGUGUCUGUACGUGGGUGUGUAAUUGUGUGAGUUGUGUGUACAUUGUGUGAAUCGUGUGUACAUGUGUGAUGAACGCAUGUGCAUGCAUGUGUGUGGUGCAUGUGUGCAUCUGUGUGUACACAUACAUUUAUAAGUGGGGGUGUGUGUCUGUGUGUGGCUGCGUGUGUUGUGUGGGUCAUGUGUACAUGUGUGAUGGAUGUAUGUGUAUGCUUUGCUUUGUGAUGCGUGUAUCUGUGCACAGGUGAACCUGUGUUUUUCUCCCUUGUUGAAAGGCAGGAUGACACGGCAGUUAGGAGCUUCUCUGGGGCCUUCAGGCAGACGGUCUGGGCUGUGUCCUGGCUGUGCCUUUUCCCAGCCCUACCUGCAGUCCUACACAUCUUCUCCACCUCCAGCGGCUUCUCCUUCUCACAUCCACCCUCUGCGAAGGCAUAAAUAGUAGCAACUCCCUUCUGGAUUCUAUGAGGUGAUAAUUACAUGAGAUGGCAGAGCCUGGAGCACGGGAGCUCCUCAGUGACUCAGUCAUGUUCAUUCCAAGGAGUUCAGGGUCCUUGCCGUCUGCAAACCUUUCCCCUUAUUUUCAAGAUCCUUGAGUCUGACUGUCAAGCAGUAACAUUCCAGCCUCAACUACAACAAUACUUGUAGAUGAAUGGAGCUUCCACUGGACCCCAUGUCACUGGUGAGGGACUUCAGGCAGAGAGAAAGCUCAUCCUUUGCCCAAGGUCACACCGCUGGUAAAAAGCAAAUGAAGUUCAAACUGACCUCCUCAUCCCUGCCCUUGUCCUCCCAACAGGCUCCUCACAGGUGGAAAAAUCAACCCCUACAGCAAACUCAUUGUUUUUUUGACCUCUCCUAAAAUUAAAAUCCAAG
rnacentral:lncRNA from 1 species